AGUGAACGCUGGCGGUAGGCCUAACACAUGCAAGUCGAACGGCAGCACAGGAGAGCUUGCUCUCUGGGUGGCGAGUGGCGGACGGGUGAGGAAUACAUCGGAAUCUACUUUUUCGUGGGGGAUAACGUAGGGAAACUUACGCUAAUACCGCAUACGACCUACGGGUGAAAGCAGGGGAUCUUCGGACCUUGCGCGAUUGAAUGAGCCGAUGUCGGAUUAGCUAGUUGGCGGGGUAAAGGCCCACCAAGGCGACGAUCCGUAGCUGGUCUGCGAGGAUGAUCAGCCACACUGGAACUGAGACACGGUCCAGACUCCUACGGGAGGCAGCAGUGGGGAAUAUUGGGCAAUGGGCGCAAGCCUGAUCCAGCCAUACCGCGUGGGUGAAGAAGGCCUUCGGGUUGUAAAGCCCUUUUGUUGGGAAAGAAAUCCAGCUGGUUAAUACCCGGUUGGGAUGACGGUACCCAAAGAAUAAGCACCGGCUAACUUCGUGCCAGCCGCCGCAGUAA
rnacentral:rRNA from 1 species